UACGUAGGGUGCAAGCGUUAAUCGGAAUUACUGGGCGUAAAGGGUGCGUAGGCGGAUAAUCAAGUCAGAUGUGAAAGCCCCGGGCUUAACCUGGGAACUGCGUUUGAUACGGAUGGGCUAGAGUUCGGGAGAGGAGAGUGGAAUUCCCAGUGUAGAGGUGAAAUUCGUAGAUAUUGGGAAGAACACCGGUGGCGAAGGCGGCUCUCUGGACCGAGACUGACGCUGAGGCGCGAAAGCGUGGGGAGCAAACAGG
rnacentral:rRNA from 1 species